UGGACUAAUUAUGAGAAUGUGUCACGAACUGAGGAAUAUAACUAAUCUAAUUCUUUGCACCUGAAGUCCUUU
rnacentral:snoRNA from 1 species